GUCUUGUAGUUGCUGUAAUUUUUUGGUGGGAUGAGUUAUUUUAUUUAGGUGCUGUGAUUAGUGGCGAAUAUUUGGAGAUUUAUUUCUUGCGGUGGAGUAGUCUGAACAACAAUCAUCUUUGGUUCAGCAAGCAGAGCAGAAUCCCAGUGGCAGAGGGAGGAAGCCAGCCCAGCCCUGUCACCAGGCCAUCAUGCAUCAGUGCCAUGCAUCAUCAAGUGGCAGUGUCACCCACACACGGAACAAUGACAGCCCACAGAGGGAAAAAAUAUUGAUUGAGUAAUUCUUGCCCACACAAUUUGUUGUCUGAUUUAAGAAUAAGAGCAUCUAUUUUUAAG